rnacentral:rRNA from 1 species
GACUACUGGGGUAUCUAAUCCUGUUUGCUCCCCACGCUUUCGCGCCUCAGCGUCAGUUACUGUCCAGAUAGCCGCCUUCGCCACUGGUGUUCCUCCUGAUCUCUACGCAUUUUACCGCUACACCAGGAAUUCCACUAUCCUCUCCAGCACUCAAGAUCUGCAGUUUCGGAUGACCUCUCCGGGUUAAGCCCGAAUCUUUCACACCCGACUUGCAAACCCGCCUACACGCCCUUUACACCCAGUAAAUCCGGAUAACGCUCGCCACCUACGUAUUACCGCGGCUGCUGGCACGUAGUUAGCCGUGGCUUGUUCUUCAGGUACCGUCAUUGCUUUCGUCCCUGAUCAAAGAAGUUUACAACCCGAAGGCCUUCGUCCUUCACGCGGCGUUGCUGGGUCAGGGUUUCCCCCAUUGCCCAAUAUUCCCCACUGCUGCCACCCGUAGG